rnacentral:rRNA from 1 species
UGCAAGUCGAACGAACACUUCGGUGUUAGUGGCGCACGGGUGCGUAACGCGUGGGAAUCUACCCUUGGGUUCGGAAUAACAGUGGGAAACUACUGCUAAUACCGGAUGAUGACGUAAGUCCAAAGAUUUAUCGCCCAGGGAUGAGCCCGCGUAGGAUUAGCUAGUUGGUAAGGUAAAGGCUUACCAAGGCUACGAUCCUUAGCUGGUCUGAGAGGAUGAUCAGCCACACUGGGACUGAGACACGGCCCAGACUCCUACGGGAGGCAGCAGUAGGGAAUAUUGGACAAUGGGUGAAAGCCUGAUCCAGCAAUGCCGCGUGAGUGAUGAAGGCCUUAGGGUUGUAAAGCUCUUUUACCCGGGAUGAUAAUGACAGUACCGGGAGAAUAAGCCCCGGCUAACUCCGUGCCAGCAGCCGCGGUAAUACGGAGGGGGCUAGCGUUGUUCGGAAUUACUGGGCGUAAAGCGCACGUAGGCGGCGAUUUAAGUCAGAGGUGAAAGCCCGGGGCUCAACCCCGGAAUAGCCUUUGAGACUGGAUUGCUAGAAUCCGGGAGAGGUGAGUGGAAUUCCGAGUGUAGAGGUGAAAUUCGUAGAUAUUCGGAAGAACACCAGUGGCGAAGGCGGCUCACUGGACCGGCAUUGACGCUGAGGUGCGAAAGCGUGGGGAGCAAAC